rnacentral:lncRNA from 1 species
AAUUUUAUGUAAUACAAGAAAAUAGUAUAAAUUCUAUAUUUUUGAACCUUUCUAUACCAAUUAUGUAUUAUUGUAGUACUUAAAAUUAGUGUAUCAACUUGAGUGGUAUAAGUAUAAUAUGUAUUAUCAUACAAGAAUUGUAUUGAAGAAGCAUCUUUUUGUUGUGCUACAUUUGAUAUGACGCACAAGUUGUGUUAUAAUUGUGUGCUCAAUAAUGUGAAAAAAAAUCAAAAAAAAUCAAAAUAGAUCUAUGGCAACUA